GUGGUUAAGCGACAAAGGGCGUACGGUGGAUGCCUGGGCGUCUGCUAGCGAUGAAGGACGUAGAAGGCUGCGAUAAGCCACGGGGAGCCGCCAAACAGGCCUUGAUCCGUGGAUUUCCGAAUGGGGAAACCCGGCUGACCAAAAGUCAGUCAUCCUCCACUGAACACAUAGGUGGAAGGAAGCGAACGCGGGGAACUGAAACAUCUAAGUACCCGCAGGAAGAGAAAUCAAUUGAGAUACCCCCAGUAGCGGCGAGCGACCGGGGUAGAGCCUAAACCGACUGUGUGUAAGGUUACAGCCGUUGCAUGGUCGGGGUUGUGGGGCUCUCUUUGCACUCUCUGUAAGGAGUGCGGCGAGUAAGAAACUGAAUCGAUAGUCGAAGACUUUGGAAAGGGUCACCGUAGAGGGUAAUGGUCCCGUAGACGAAAUCAAUUCAGCUCGCUUAGAGGGUUCCCGAGUACGGUGGGACACGAGAAAUCCUGCCGGAAUCUGGGUGGACCAUCAUCCAAGGCUAAAUAUACGCAGACGACCGAUAGCGAACCAGUACCGUAAGGGAAAGGUGAAAAGAACCCCUUUAAGGGGAGUGAAAUAGAACCUGAAACCGUAUGCCUACAAGCAGUGGGAGCCCUAUGGCCUUGUGCCAGGGUGACCGCGUGCCUUUUGCAUAAUGAGUCAGCGAGUUAUGCUACGCAGCAAGGUUAAGUCGAAUAGAUGCAGCCGCAGGGAAACCGAGUCUGAACAGGGCGAAUAAGUUGCGUGGUGUAGACCCGAAACCGAGUGAGCUACCCAUGGCCAGGUUGAAGUUCCGGUAAAACGGGAUGAAGGACCGAACCCACUGAUGUUGAAAAAUCAGGGGAUGAGCUGUGGGUAGGGGUGAAAGGCCAAUCAAACUCGGAGAUAGCUGGUUCUCCCCGAAAUAUAUUUAGGUAUAGCCUCGGGAGAUAUCACUGACGGAGGUAGAGCACUGAAUGGGCUAGGGGCCUAACCCGGUUACCAACCCCAAUCAAACUCCGAAUGCCGUUAUGUGUUAUCCCGGGAGUCAGUCUGCGGGUGAUAAGGUCCGUAGACGAGAGGGAAACAACCCAGACCGCCAGCUAAGGUCCCAAAAUGACAGUUAAGUGGUAAAGGAUGUGGAAGCACACAGACAACCAGGAGGUUGGCUUAGAAGCAGCCA
rnacentral:rRNA from 1 species